rnacentral:rRNA from 1 species
GGCUCAGAUUGAACGCUGGCGGCAGGCUUAACACAUGCAAGUCGAGCGGGGGAAGGUAGCUUGCUACUGGACCUAGCGGCGGACGGGUGAGUAAUGCUUAGGAAUCUGCCUAUUAGUGGGGGACAACAUCUCGAAAGGGAUGCUAAUACCGCAUACGUCCUACGGGAGAAAGCAGGGGAUCUUCGGACCUUGCGCUAAUAGAUGAGCCUAAGUCGGAUUAGCUAGUUGGUGGGGUAAAGGCCUACCAAGGCGACGAUCUGUAGCGGGUCUGAGAGGAUGAUCCGCCACACUGGGACUGAGACACGGCCCAGACUCCUACGGGAGGCAGCAGUGGGGAAUAUUGGACAAUGGGGGGAACCCUGAUCCAGCCAUGCCGCGUGUGUGAAGAAGGCCUUAUGGUUGUAAAGCACUUUAAGCGAGGAGGAG